rnacentral:lncRNA from 1 species
UUCUGCUCUGGUGACAAGGCUGGGAUCAGUCACAGGUCGGACUCGAUGAUCUCAGAGGUCGUUUCCGGCCUCAGUGAUCUGUGAUUCUGUGAUUUUCUGCCCUAUCUAUUCUAGACAUAACUUGGAGGAUCCCCUGCAUUUCCAGGCUGUCACAGUGGCGUUGUUCUUUCUUUCCUUUUCAGAAAUUCCCCAUUUCUCAUCCCUCCAGAUCCGGAUGAUCUGCUGCCGGUGACGCUCGUGGGGGAAGUAGGGUCUUGGUGGCCUUUCCUUCACCCCAUGUUUGAUGGCAUUGCUCUCUCAGCAGCCCAGUGCUGAUGACUAACAGUUCCUGGUGAAGCACCAAGUGUGCUGCUUUGUGUUUUUUUCAAGAAUUUUUCCAGCUGGCGAGGCGUGACCUUGGAUAUUUCACAUGUGGGAACGUGGCCGGAACGCGCGGCGUGACUCACAUUGACCUCAACAGUGAUUGGCAGGAAUUUUAUGAGGCUCACAGCACUGUCCUUAGAGAAACCAGCGGGAUCUUGGCACUGGUGUCUCAGGACUGGGGACUCUUCCCUCCAGGUGAUGAUUCCUCAGGUGAGUUUCUUUGCAGACAACUAAAAA